UAGUAGCGGCGAGCGAAGCGGGAAGAGCUCAAAUUUAUAAUCUGGCACCUUCGGUGUCCGAGUUGUAAUCUCUAGAAAUGUUUUCCGCGUUGGACCGCACACAAGUCUGUUGGAAUACAGCGGCAUAGUGGUGAGACCCCCGUAUAUGGUGCGGACGCCCAGCGCUUUGUGAUACAUUUUCGAAGAGUCGAGUUGUUUGGGAAUGCAGCUCAAAUUGGGUGGUAAAUUCCAUCUAAAGCUAAAUAUUGGCGAGAGACCGAUAGCGAACAAGUACCGUGAGGGAAAGAUGAAAAGCACUUUGGAAAGAGAGUUAACAGUACGUGAAAUUGUUGGAAGGGAAACGCUUGAAGUCAGACUUGCUUGCCGAGCAAUCGGUUUGCAGGCCAGCAUCAGUUUUCCGGGAUGGAUAAUGGUAGAGAGAAGGUAGCAGUUUCGGCUGUGUUAUAGCUCUCUGCUGGAUACAUCUUGGGGGACUGAGGAACGCAGUGUGCCUUUGGCGGGGGUUUCGACCUCUUCACACUUAGGAUGCUGGUGGAAUGGCUUUAAACGACCCGUCUUGAAACACGGACCAAGGAGUCUAACAUGCUUGCGAGUAUUUGGGUGUCAAACCCGGAUGCGUAAUGAAAGUGAAUGGAGGUGGGAACCGCAAGGUGCACCAUCGACCGAUCUGGAUUUUUAAUGAUGGAUUUGAGUAAGAGCACGUAUGUUGGGACCCGAAAGAUGGUGAACUAUGCCUGAAUAGGGCGAAGCCAGAGGAAACUCUGGUGGAGGCUCGUAGCGGUUCUGACGUGCAAAUCGAUCGUCAAAUUUGGGUAUAGGGGCGAAAGACUAAUCGAACCAUCUAGUAGCUGG
rnacentral:rRNA from 1 species